rnacentral:rRNA from 1 species
UACGUAGGGUGCAAGCGUUGUCCGGAAUCAUUGGGCGUAAAGCGCGCGUAGGUGGUCCUGUAAGUCCGCUGUGAAAGUCAAAGGCUCAACCUUUGAAAGCCGGUGGAUACUGCGGGACUAGAGUACGGAAGAGGAGAGUGGAAUUCCUGGUGUAGCGGUGGAAUGCGCAGAUAUCAGGAAGAACACCCGUGGCGAAGGCGGCUCUCUGGAACGCAACUGACGCUGAGACGCGAAAGCGUGGGGAGCAAACAGG